rnacentral:lncRNA from 1 species
AUGCAAAAGCUCUGGCAUAUGAAUAAAAAUUCUAGACAAACCCAACAUGGCCAUACCAAGUCGAAAGCAGCAGACUCGGUUGUGGAUUUUCGCUUCCUCAGCUAUAGCAAUUCAAAGUGCGACACAAGCUUUCAGGAUUCCUAUUAUAUCUUGAAUCAAUCUUGUGUAGCUCCACAGUUUGCAGUCACACGAAAGUAUAAACUGCUAGAUUCUCUAUGA